GACAGAGGGAGCAAGCGUUGCUCGGAAUUACUGGGCGUAAAGGGCGCGUAGGCGGGAUGGCAAGUCGGUCGUGAAAUCCCUCGGCUCAACCGAGGAACGUCGAUCGAUACUGCUGUUCUUGAGGAUUGCAGAGGAGACUGGAAUUCCCGGUGUAGCGGUGAAAUGUGUAGAGAUCGGGAGGAACACCGGUGGCGAAGGCGGGUCUCUGGGCAAUUCCUGACGCUGAGGCGCGAAAGCGUGGGGAGCAAACGGG
rnacentral:rRNA from 1 species